GAUGAACGCUGGCGGCGGGCCUAACACAUGCAAGUCGAACGGACAGACGAGGAGCUUUCUCCUCUGACGGUAGCGGCGGACGGGUGAGUGACACGUGGAUAACCUACCUAUAAGACGGGGAGGACUUCGUGAAACCGGUGACAAUAACAGCUAAUAUAUUCAACCGCAGAGAGCAAGAGUUAAAGGCAGCUUUCCUGUCACUUAUAGAUGGAGUCGGGCCGCAUUAGCUAGUUGGUAAGGUAACGGCUCACCAAGGCAACGAUGCGUAGCCGAUCUGAGAGGGUGAUCAGCCACACUGGAACUGAGACACGGUCCAGACUCCUACGGGAGGCAGCAGUGGGGAAUCUUGCACAAUGGGCGCAAGCCUGACGCAGCCACGCCGCGUGAGUGAAGAAGGCCUUCGGAUUGUAAAGCUCUUUUAUUGGGGAAGAACAGAUGUAUGUGUAAACCUGCACGUCUUGACGGUACCCAAAGAAAAAGCCCCGGCUAACUACGUG
rnacentral:rRNA from 1 species